GCCUUCACUUCUAGCUCCCCUAACCGGAACCGCCAUCGCUCGCGAGCCCGCGGGGGCUGCCAGGGCGGACGCUGAGAGCCACGGCGAGCGGCAGCGUUCCGGGCGCCGAUACGUUGGGAGCGGGUGAAGGCGCGGGGCUCGGAGAGGCAGGAGACGCAGGCGGCGAAGUACUGGGGGCUCUUCGUGGGAGCCCUGCGAAGGUCAGGUCACAGGGCGCGGGGAGCGAGCGGAAGUGGAGCUCCUGGGCCCGCGAGGCUGCUCGGUCGGGGAGGGGGCGGAGGAUGGCGGAGCCUCCUACUCUGCAUAACGCCCGCCGCCUCCCAGUCCUCCGCCCUGAUCCGGUCCCUGGCAUUACUGGUGCUCUGGGUGGCGACACAGCUACAAAACGGGGAAUGUCCCAGAGCAGGAGACCCAGCUCUCAGCAUUUCUGUGACAAGAUACCCGGGGAGAAGGAUUUUAUGUAGUCAAUACAACAAAACCUGAAGACCCCCAUUUCCUUUCCCCUGCCUCACAUCGUGGCGUUAGUAUCUCGCAUUCACGCAGUUCCCUGCUGGGGCACCCAAGGGCGCAUUAGUGAGGAGUGAACAGUUCAGAGAAGAUUUGAGAGUGAGGAAGAGGUUACUCACCGUGUGCAGUAGCUGCGGUUCCUUGAGAAGUGUGUCCCUGUGGGUGCUGGGUGCUCCACUCUAGGUGUCUUUGCAUCUACCGAUCUGAGGCGCACGGAUACACCUGCAGUGGAGCACCCAUAGAGACACUACUCAAAGAAGAAGAAAAGUUUAGUCACCUUGCGCACUAACGAUGGUUUUUCGAGAUGUGUCCCCCUUUGAGUGCUCCAUUGUAGGUGUAGCCACAUCCCUGGCCCUCACAUUGGGGAUGCAAAGACACCUAGAGUGCAGCACCCAUAGGGACACUAGCUGAAGAAGAAUCAAUAUUUCCCGGUAAAGCUACAUUUUCCGGAGAAGGGCUAUUUUGGCAGGCCACAUCUCAGCCACCACUUUAGCAUGGUUUGGUUUGGUUUGGUUAGCUGGCUUUGUCCAUUAAAAUUAUGAAUGGUACCUGAAUACUGCUAACUGCAAAAAUAAUAACUUUGAGGCACUGAUGUUGUAAACUUAUAAAGCAAAGACAUACUCCUUGGGCGUCCAAGCCUGGAGAACUAUCCAGCCACACCAGUAUCUUAAAGGUUUUGCCUGACAAUAAAUAAAAAUUGUUCUGACCAAAUCGUGAUGCCUUGCAGUUAUUAUACUGCAGAAUAUACUCAUCCAUGAGUAAGGCUAUGAUUUAGUCCCGGGUAUUUUAAUAAAAGUCAUGGACAGGUCAUGGGCAAUAAACAAAAAUUCAUGGCCUGUGACCUAUUCAUGACUUAUACCCCUUAUACUUAUAAUCUUCAGCGAGGGGGCCACUACGGGGGGGGGAGGUGGGGUACGUCUGGGGAGGCCACUACUGCGGGGAGCCAGGGGCAGCGGCACCAACUGCCAGGGACUUCUGAGCAGCGGCUGCUCCAGCCACCCUGGGACCACUGCUGGGGGCCACCGACAGCGGCUGCUGCCAAGGGUCGUCAACAGCGGCUUCUCCAGCCACCCUGGGACUGCUGCCGGGGGCCACCAACAGCAGCUGCUCUUCCCCCCCCCCAGGACCACUACUCAGGCAAUCCCUGGGGCCGGCCAUACUGGUCGCUGCUCGGGCAGUCCCCAGGGCCACCCGAGCAGUGGCUGGUGCAUUUGGCCCCAAGCCCACUCCAGCAGCGGCUGGUACAGCUGGCUGCGGGGACGCCCAAGUGACUGGCUGUGGAGCUACUUUAGCAGCAGCUGGUGUGGCUGAACCCAGGGCCACCUGAACAGCUGGGGUCAGCCAAACUGGCCACCACAGAAGUCACAGAGGUUGCGGAAAGUCACGGAAUCCAUGACCUCCAUGACAAACAUGAAGCCCUAUCCGUGAGCCCCAAAAUAAAUUGUGUUGGGUGUAGAGUAUCUGUGAGUCAACAUUCUGAUUUUACAUUAUUUGUAUAGUUUUUACUUUUUAUCCAGAUGGAAGAAAACAUUCCUGAGACUGAUUAUUAUGUGAAAAUAAAAUAAAAUGUACAUACGUGAUUGAGUCA